GCAAAGUAUCUCCAUUCAAUUUUCUCCAAGAGAACUCAUUUUUAUUAUCAGUCACACGACUUACAUCUGUGAAAACGGCUCACAUAGCACACCAAAACAACAAGAGAGAGAAAACAAGCUUUAAUUAAACAAAAAGCACAAGCAGCAGAAAUCAAUGGAUUUGAACCUCCUUCAAAUCCUUUUUAGGCUGUUCAGUCCUGGGAAUGGUAAUAUGGAGAACCCCAUUCUUCAACUCGGCUUUAAUAUCAUCAACUUUAGCAUCAUCAGGCAGCAAAACACCGGUGUUAUAGUAUCCAUAGCUCCUCAUUGACCACUGCUCGUCGUCAGAUGCUUCUUCUUCUUCUUCCUUGUGCUCUCCCUUUAUUGUCAGGACCCCAUCAUCAAUGGUGAUUUUCAAGUCCUCUUUGGAUAGUCCAGGAACCUCGUAUCUCAGUUUGUAGCAAUCAUCUUUCUCUUUAAAACGGUCCAUUAGGUUUGCGGGUGACAAGUUUAGGUUUUCGAAUAGCCUGUUGAUGUUCUCUGUCGCUUGCAACAGUGCAUUUCCUAACCCUGAGGGGAAGAACUCUAUGCAUGGAUCAACAUUAAAUCAGUUAGAAAAAGGACUUCAGAACCACUACAACAAAACUAUUUAUCGAUUAAUAUUAUAGUUAUGUAGUUGUUAGUGUUAAACUCGGGACCUUAUAACUCUGAAAACAACUAAUAGAGUUCAAUUACCAUAUAGCUGUGGAACGAAUUCUCGUCCAUUGCUCCUCCACAGACCCCUCCGGCCUCUCCUCCUAGGAAAUAGUUUAGACUUCUUAUUGCCCUCACUUACAGCAACUUCUUUACCAUCAGAAGUCUCACCAGCUGUUGUCAUAAACCUCUUCAACAAUUCAUCAUUCCACCUUUGCCUUGGCACAUCAACACCACUCCUCUGAGUAACCAAAGAAGUUGAGGAGCCAAGCCUUUGAGACAAAUUCCUCAAAGCCAGACGUGCCAAAGCCAUUCUUAGAACUUGGAACUGCUCAAAAACUCAAAGAAAUUGAAAGGAAAGAAAAGAUGGGUUUGAUUAUUUUCUAUUGAUGUUGGAAGGUGAUUUAAAGAGAGCUGUUUUGGCAGUGGGUGCAAUGGGCUGGACAGUUGGAGAAGGGUCUAAGAGUUUCUGGGAGGUGGUAGCACGUCAGCAGACAGGAUUUACAUGUAAGCAAAGGAUGGUUCUUGGCCUUUCUUUCAUAUGCCAGUAGCGUUCCAGAGGAGAAGCAUGAAUCUGAUGCCACGUUUUUCACCUCUUUCCCCUUAAUUAAUUUGUCACAUAUUGCUAGAAGUCAAUAUAAAUAUGUUCUUAGGAGAAAAAUUAUUCCACUUCCUUUUUUUAUAUUUUAUUAUUAUUAUUAUUAUU
rnacentral:misc_RNA from 1 species